AGAGCUGAAGACAACUUCUGCCUCAGCCACCAUUUCACUUCCAGACAUUUUUUUUUCCUUUUACAUGAAAAUUGAAAAGCGUUCAUGGCUUUAGCAACAGGCUUUUGGUUGUUUUGUGUGCGUGUGUGUGUGUAUGUGUGUGUCUUUUCAUAUGUUAAUGGAGAGAUGCUAUGGCAACCAUUGAAAACGAAGGCUUGGAAACAAAAGCUGAAGCAGCAGAGGAGCAGUACAUAUUCACUGUGUCUGCAGGAGGAACGGCAGAGACUCCCUCUUCAGAAAGAUCAAAAACAACACAGAAGGAAUAAAAUACCUGGUUCUUUAUCUGAUGUGUCAGGACAGCUACCAGUAAGUUAUUCAGAUCGGGGUACCUUCCAAAGGAGUCAAAGGCUUCACAGGGAUGCAAAAUUUGAGUAUGAAAGAGGAAACUAAAAAGUGCCUGGUCCAAACACCAAUGAAUUAGAGCCAAACUUGUCCUUGACCAGAGUGCGUUUUUGUUGAGAUCCCAUGCUCUGAUUUUGGCAGUCAGGUUGGCUGCCACAUCACAGUCCACUUCAGUUGGAAACAGGACAUGAAGGAAAGGGUUCGGAGACAGCUUCACAGCACGUCAACUAGCGCAGCUGAGGAUCUGCAUCAGGAGACAAACCUUGCAGAAGGCUUCAGGAUCAAGAAGAACUAGGCCAGAACUACCACUGAUAUGGCUCUUUAUUUUGUAUCAAUUAAGAAGAAUGUCUCCAUUUUUUCCUGCAUUGAAAAUACUUUCUCUUUUGCAUUCUUUUCAUCGCAGAACUUAUUAUGAGCAUGUUAUUCAUUGAAUUGCACUAUCUGUACUCUGAUAUCAGUUUUAAUUUGUUAAGCAGUAUUUAGUGAGGUGUUUCAUGAACAAAAAACAAUCUAGUGACCUGGACACAGUAUCCUUAUAAAUAUAAAUACAAACCCGAACUAGAGAAAUAAAACUAUACUUUAGUUUCUAAAAUUGUUGCUUUUCAGUUAAUUAGAAAAAUAUAAAUGAUGCUAUUAAUGAUUUGUUUCCUGUUUCCAUGUGUCAGAAAUACUGUUAAAAAGUGGCAUAAAAAUAUUCAUGUUGUGUCAUGCUAAAUGUGUUUUUCCAAACUAUAUGGAAACAAUAAUAGCAACACUUUU